ensembl:lncRNA
GCACAUAAAAGCACACACCUCAGUCAUCACCUGGUCUGAUCUUGAACUUUCCCCGUCUUAGUUACUUGCAUUGACUUCUCAAACUUACCUCUCGACUUACUUCUUCUCCAGCGGAAAUCUCCUAAUCUCCAGAGUUCCUCCAGCGCUCCUCCAACGAUCUCCUCUUCCAAGUCUUCCUCUCCUACGUCCCUCCCGAGAGCCAUUCUGACCAAGAUCGAAUCAUUAGCCGACUGUGAUGCACGAAACAGCAGGCGAAGGUUCGUUAAAUCCACUCAUCCACUGCGGAGAUGAGGCAAAGAUACCUGAGGGAGAGUUGAGUCGAGUACAGGUACAACGGGCCGGAUCCAGCCAUACAGCGACUCCUCACACCGCCCAGAGCAAACGCGAUCCGAAACCAGCCCACAUCUGCCGAGAUAAGGAUAUGAAUGAGGUACUACAGAGGACGGCAGGUACAAUUUCCAUCUGGUGGAAACGCCGCCUCGGUUCCCACGUCUACGGCACCGCUUUCUUCUGGAAAAGGCACAGGGCAGUCGGCGCAAACUUUCCUGUAUAGAAGACCAACCAAAGGAAGACAGAUAAGUGCAGUAGAAGCAUGUUGAAUAAUCAUAUAUAAAAACAUAACAAUAACAAACAGCCAG